UGUGUGUUGUGUUUGUGUGUCAGUGUAGCGAAGGGAGAGAGCAGUGACCCCACCCGGUCUUGAACACAGGUUUCCAAACUAAAGUUUACAGUUGGGAUCCUCCAGAAGAGAAGAAAGAUGCUUCACUCCUGAGUCUCCUGCUUUAUUCCCACUCAGCUGCAGCUCUCUCAUGUGUGAGGGGUUUGAUCUCAGUGCUGAUGCAAGAGCUCUGAAGCCUUCAUCUCCAAUACUGCAGUCUGACAGACUGUAGAGAGAAUUUACAGUUGGGAUCCUCCAGAAGAGAAGAAAGAUGCUUC